rnacentral:rRNA from 1 species
GGGCCCGCACAAGCGGUGGAGCAUGUGGCUUAAUUCGAGGCAACGCGAAGAACCUUACCUGGUCUUGACAUGCCCGUCAUAGUUUUCCGAAAGGAAUUCGUCAGUUCGGCUGGACGGUGCACAGGUGCUGCAUGGCUGUCGUCAGCUCGUGUCGUGAGAUGUUCGUUAAGUCCGGCAACGAGCGCAACCCCUCGUUCCUUAGUUCGCCAGGCGGUAUUGCCGGGGACUCUAGGAAGACAAACCUCGUGUAGAGGUGGGAAGGUGGGGACGACGUCAAGUCAGUAUGGCCCUUACGACCAGGGCUGCACACGUGCUACAAUGCCCAGCACAAUGGGAUGCAACGCCGCGAGGUU